rnacentral:piRNA from 1 species
UGGGAAGGACUGGUGAGCGCCUGGA